rnacentral:lncRNA from 1 species
CCCAAGCCUAAAAUCUAGGUCUAGUUGCUGGGCUGGCUAGCCAACCUUUUUUUUUUCAAAUGAAUUUUAAAAAGAUAUUGGUUGAGUUUCUACUGGCCUGACCUGACCCAUUAACGGCCAGGCAAGGCCAUCUAGUUGAGGGACCAGGCUGGGCAUGGACCCCUUUGGCUCGGUCGAGUUUGGGCCUGGCCCAGGCCAUCCCUUGGUUGUCCCCUUGCCACCUCUGAUCAAGGGUGACAUAAUAAUUCCUAGGCCCCUUUAUGCAAGGCUUCUUCUGCCAAACCCCGUUUGCUUACUAAUUCUUGUUGAGCAGAGUCUGUCUUGGGCUUUCCUUCCUCAACAUAGUAAUAUUUAACUUCUUCUCCAAAACAUUCGCUGGCCUCACAUUCUCCGCAUAUCUCGUUUUCUUUUCCUUCUUUCUUCUACAUUGCUCACCUCUAAUACUAGCCAAGUGUUUCUCUAAUGAUGUAUGCUGGUAUUAUGAAUAAUUUUGCAAAAUAUUUGUUCCAUUCUAUUUCUUUUUGUUCCAAAGUCCAAAUAUUCAAAAAAUCACUAAUUGAAAACCAAAUCAUCUGAAAAGUCAUCAAGGAACUCAAACCCAUGCUAGAAUAAAAUUUCAAAAUCAAAAGGUCUAGAAUCAAAAUUUGAGACUAGAAAAAAAUCACAAAACCUAAACCUAAAUAUUUGGAAAGUCAUUAUGCCUAAACAGAAUCUUGAGAAAAGUCAUCAAUAAACCGAUAUCUAUAUUAGAAAAACUUUGCAAAAUCAAAGUUGAAGCCCGAAAUCAAAAAUUAAAAAUAGAAAAAAAAAAAAAAAAAACUUGUGACUUGGAAAUCACAAAUGAACAAACCCAACUUGGAACUUAGAAAUCACAAAACCAAAAAUCUAUCUUGAAAAAAAAUAUCCAAAACCCAAUCUUGAAAAGUAUCUAGUAACAAAAUCUCAAAAUUGAAAUAAGCUAACCUUUUUAAACCUAAUCAAAGUUGGCGCUAAUUGGCAAGCUGUGGCUCCUUUAACAUCUUCUUGAGUUCACAAGGAAUCAUUUUUUAGUUUCUAUCCUUUUUUUUUUGUAGGAAUUGGACAGAACACAAAAGAGUUUAUUCUUGAAAAAAAAUUCUCUAAUAUUGGUUCAUAUGCAUGUGGCAG